AGACUGUUCUGAGACUGUUCUGAGACUGUUCUGCGGUACUCACAUAUGCUCCCUGUUUCUGUAUCGCUGUGACGUUCUGCAGGUGUGUUUUAGUCAGAAACCCUUCAUGUACUGAUAAUAUUCCUGCAGUAUUCUUCGGUGGCACUUUAAUGUGUGUUUCCUGCUGUCUCAGUUGUGUAGUAUGCCUGUAGUGUGUCUGCAGUAUCAGCCUGGUACUGUGUUGUGCUGACUGUGACAGAAGUGAUAUCUGCUCUGCCCAGGCUGCAGCCUCAGUCACUAACUAAUACUUCCUGUAUACUAAGCCACGUGAACCGAGCCGAGCCGCUGACAGGGUGGAGGAUGAAAUCAUCGGUGCCAAACGCCGGCGGGUCGUUGCUCCCUUCCCCCGCCGCUCCGCCCCGCUGAUCGGAUCCACAGCCGGAGCGGGUCAAACUGACUCCUGGUGGUCGGUUUUGUGGCAGGAAGCAGGAGGCUGAACGGAUCCGGUUCAAAACAACUGUGUUAGGUGAAUCCUCGGGAACAGACCGGCGGUGUGCGGCUCCGUGACGGAGCGCAGCGCCGCGGACACGGGUUACGCACGACGCAGCGCGCGCACUGGUUUGGAGGAGAGAGGAUACUGUUACUAUGACUACAGCUAAUGUCACCGCUGCUGCUGCUGAUGGCGCUGUGCUGGGUGGAGUCAGGUCACUUUGUGAAACUACCCGAAGUGUAACUUUUACAGCUCGUUACGUGUGUGUGUGUGUGUGUGUGUGUGUGUGUGUGUGUGUGUGUGUGUGUGUGUGUAACAAAGAUGGCUAAUUCUGGACUCACUGCAUCUUUGAUAUAUUUUUCAGUGACAGGGCGGCACAGAAUAACCCAGUAACUCUGAUGUCAUGGCACCUGGCAGAAACAUGCCGGUGUCACUUCGGAUGCAUUCAGAUUGUAGAAACUUCACACAUCCUGACGUUAACAACUCAUCUAACUUGUCAUGUGAUAGUUUUCCGUCUGACUGAGGAAGAUUCAAGUGUUGCACAUUUCCAGCCGAGGUGUGUUUUUGGUCCUUCGGGAAAAUGAGAACAUGAAGGAUGUCUGAUAUGUGAUUCAACAACAGAUGGAGAGCAGGGUUGACUUUGUUGGUUUGGACAGCAGGUGGCGCUGCUGCAUCAACAAUCAGCGGAGACUCAAACACACAAACGUACCUUUAUCUCCUCUACAUUUCCAGCAGGCUGCAAACACUUUUAAACCCAGUCUAUAAAACCUACUGGCUGCUGCUACUUAUGGCAGCAGCCAUCCCCUGCUCCGGUUGGGCCACAACCUCCUGAACUCUCUGAGCUGCAACAACCUCCUGAACUCUCUGAACUGCAGCACACUCCUGAACUCUCUGAGCUGCACCAACCUCCUGAACUCUCUGAACUGCAGCAACCUCCCAAACUCUCUGAACUGCAGCAACCUCCUGAACUCUCUGAACUGCAGCAACCUCCUGAACUCUCUGAGCUGCAGCAACCUCCUGAACUCUGAACUGCAGCAAUCUCCUGAACUCUCUGAACUGCAGCAACCUCCUGAACUCUCUGAGCUGCAGCAACCUCCUGAACUCUCUGAGCUGCACCAACCUCCUGAUCCACCUGUGCGGCAGCCUCCUGGUUCCCUGGCAGCACUGGUUCCACCGACUUCUCUGCCAGUCUCUCCGUCGCAAGCCUCCUGUCCUGCUGCCCUGUCACCAGACCCUGGUCUUCAUCUCCAGCCAUGCCGCCGACCUCCAGAAGGCUUCCGCCUUCGCUGCUGGCCUCCAGUGGCCUUCUGUCUACACCUCAGCAUCCGGUUUGACCCCCGGAGGGUCCCCACCUUCGUCCCCGACCUCCUGAGUUGCUCCGUACGUCUGGUCAUCACCCGGACCUGCUCGGCCCUUCAGCCCUGCCUCCUGGGUGCCCACCUGACCUGCUCUGCUCUUCUGUCCAGCCCUCGGGCCAGGAGCAGGGUAUGGUUGCGGCCCGACCGGAGCAAGACGUAGCUGCUGCGAUCCAGCAGAGGCAGGAGUGAGCUGCAGCCCAUAGAGUUCAGGGAGCUGCUGCAGCACAGGGGGUUCAGGGAGAGGUUGUGGCACCUGCUCCCACUAACUGUGCUCGUUGUUGUUGGAUAUGAGACCUAAUAUGGAUGGUAACUGAACUAUGAUGGGACGUGAGACUGUUUGUGUAAAGGGAGCAGAGUCGGGGGGCAGGACACAGCCCUGGGGGGCUCCUGUGCUGAGAUGAAAGGUCGUUCACCUUAACCCACUGUCUCCAGAUCCAGUGGAGCAUGAAGGAGCUGAUGCUCAGCUGUGUUUGUGUUCCCUAUAAGUCUGUAAAAGAACACAUUUAGUUCGGUUUCGUUCAGUUUAAAGCACUUUAGUUGGAACUUAAACAAAACAGAUUCUUUACAUCAUUUAAACAUCAUUUAAGUUCCAACAUUUAGACCAAAACUCAUUUUAAUUCAACCUGUUGAAGCCAAGAGAGACACAUCAUGUUAAACAGCUGAUCUGUGUGAGCACCACACACACACAGUUGUGUUUCCGUCACCUUCGGGGACAUUACAUUCACUUACAUUCAUUACCUGGAGACUUACCUAACCUUACACCAAGUCUUCAGCCUAAAGUUUGAUGAUUUCAUUAUAGGGACGGACAUUUUGUCCCCACAAUGUGACUGUGUAAACAAAUUUCUGUCCCCACAACAUUAGUAAUACCUGCCCACACACACACAGAUAAACUCACCUGAUUUCCUGUAAAAGGAGAGGGGCGGAGCAACACUGACCCGGUGAUCCAGGUACGUAAGAACAGGGCGGGAACCUGAAGCUGAAAGUGUUCAGUUAGUUCAGACUCCAUUUUGAGUCGACAGAGCAGAAGGAGGAAACUGAAGGCUGAGGCAGGGUGAGUGUUAAUCCAACAUCUUUAUUAUCUUACCGUCAAAGUCUGUGAGUCGGUUUCCUCCCUGUGGACUGUAGAGGAAAGAAAUGUGAGAAUGACCAGUUUGAUUAAUCUGUGGACACAAAGUCCUUAUGUAUACUGCGCGUGCUGCUUCCUGUUGUCAGUCUUGUUUGUGACUCUUGAAUAAACUUGUUCCUCCUGAUUCUCGUGAGAGAAGUUAAAGAAAAGUGACCAGGUGGAGCUGAUUUAUUAAACUGUGUGUUAUUAUACUGUA